rnacentral:rRNA from 1 species
ACUGAACGCUGGCGGCAGGCUUAACACAUGCAAGUCGAGCGGGGUGAUGGUGCUCGCACUAUCACUUAGCGGCGGACGGGUGAGUAAUGCUUAGGAAUCUGCCUAUUGGUGGGGGACAACAUCUCGAAAGGGAUGCUAAUACCGCAUACGUCCUACGGGAGAAAGCAGGGGAUCACUUGUGACCUUGCGCUAAUAGAUGAGCCUAAGUCGGAUUAGCUAGUUGGUGGGGUAAAGGCCUACCAAGGCGACGAUCUGUAGCGGGUCUGAGAGGAUGAUCCGCCGCACUGGGACUGAGCCACGGCCCAGACUCCUACGGGAGGCAGCAGUGGGGAAUAUUGGACAAUGGGGGGAACCCUGAUCCAGCCAUGCCGCGUGUGUGAAGAAGGCCUUAUGGUUGUAAAGCACUUUAAGCGAGGAGGAGGCUCUCUUGGUUAAUACCCAAGAUGAGUGGACGUUACUCGCAGAAUAAGCACCGGCUAACUCUGUGCCAGCAGCCGCCGUAA